UACCAGCACCCCGAGUGGUCGGGACGAUUAUUGGGCCUAAAGCAUCCGUAGCCGGUCCUGCAAGUCUUCCGUUAAAUCCAGCUGCUCAACAGAUGGGCUGCGGGGGAUACUACAGGGCUAGGAGGCGGGAGAGGCAAGCGGUACUUUAUGGGUAGGGGUAAAAUCCGUUGAUCCAUAGAAGACCACCAGUGGCGAAGGCGGCUUGCCAGAACGCGCUCGACGGUGAGGAUGAAAGCUGGGGAGCAAACCGG
rnacentral:rRNA from 1 species